UGGGGAAUAUUGGACAAUGGGCGAAAGCCUGAUCCCGCCAUGCCGCGUGUGUGAAGAAGGUCUUCGGAUUGUAAAGCACUUUAAGUUGGGAGGAAGGGCAUUAACCUAAUACGUUAGUGUUUUGACGUUACCGACAGAAUAAGCACCGGCUAACUCUGUGCCAGCAGCCGCGGUAAUACAGAGGGUGCAAGCGUUAAUCGGAAUUACUGGGCGUAAAGCGCGCGUAGGUGGUUUGUUAAGUUGGAUGUGAAAUCCCCGGGCUCAACCUGGGAACUGCAUUCAAAACUGACUGACUAGAGUAUGGUAGAGGGUGGUGGAAUUUCCUGUGUAGCGGUGAAAUGCGUAGAUAUAGGAAGGAACACCAGUGGCGAAGGCGACCACCUGGACUAAUACUGACACUGAGGUGCGAAAGCGUGGGGAGCAAACA
rnacentral:rRNA from 1 species